CUGUGCCUACCCUUUGCUGAUUUGCAUAUAUACAAAGCAUGAGGAAUUCUUCAUAAUCAGGUCACACCCUGUGUUGGAAUCAGCCUCACAGAGGUCACACACAGACAUGGGUGUCCCCACUCAGCUCCUGGGGUUGUUGCUACUGUGGAUUACAGAUGCCAUAUGUGACAUCCAGAUGACACAGUCUCCAGCUUCCCUGUCUGCAUCUCUGGGAGAAACUGUCACCAUCGAAUGUCGAGCAAGUGAGGACAUUUACAAUGGUUUAGCAUGGUAUCAGCAGAAGCCAGGGAAAUCUCCUCAGCUCCUGAUCUAUAAUGCAAAUAGCUUGCAUACUGGGGUCCCAUCACGGUUCAGUGGCAGUGGAUCUGGUACACAGUAUUCUCUCAAGAUAAACAGCCUGCAGUCUGAAGAUGUCGCAAGUUAUUUCUGUCAACAGUAUUACAAUUAUCCUCCCACAGUGAUUCAAGCCAUGACAUAAACCAUGCAUGGAAGCAGAAGUGAGAGUACAGGGUGCC